UUUUCGGAGAGUUGAAAAGCCCACCAGUAAAGCCAAAGAAAAGAGACUGUCGUGUGAAUGAUACACCAGUGUGCAUAAGCGGCAUCGCCAGAGUGAAUUUCAGUAGGUAAAUCUACUUAUGACCAACUUUGUUAUUUGAUUCUGGUGAUCAAUCUUAGAAUCCAUCUUUAAUUCAUUUGACCCUUUUUUGCUUUUCAGGUUGAUCGGAUUUUGGGCUGUCGUGUUAGAGGUAAUGAUGCAAGUUCAUUGUUUUAUGUUUAUGUAUGUAUUGUAGACAUCCUUAAGUCUGUUAGUUUACUUGUUCCAGAGAAGCAGGACAGACAUCGACAUAGUACUUCUGGCGAAAUCAACUUAGAUGCAGGAGACAGGGCUGGACUUGCUGAUGACAGAUAAGCUGAUAUAAGCAUUGACAGUGAUAUCAAACUGCACAAUCUGAAUGUUUUUCAGUGGUUAUUCUCUCAUUGGCUGGAAUUUA
rnacentral:lncRNA from 1 species